UUAGGGCUAGCGAUGGAGGAAGAGCGCCAAGAGCAGCCAUCCGCGGCUUCAUCCUCGUUCGCUCCAGCUAAAAUCAAGACGCUCUUCCCCGCGUCGGCAGCCGGAUCGCUCUUCCCGAUCUUACAGGCAAAGCAUUUCGAUGCUGAGGCUCCAACAUGGCUGAGCAAUGCCAGCUUCUCCGAAUCGCUUCUUCCACCUCGUCCUGUAAGUGUAGCGGUAGCACAGCCGAGUUUUAGAGAAGGCGAUGGAUCCGACUCAAAUGGCGAUGACGCGGAGCCACUGGGAGAGAAGAAAGAUGGGGGCAAGGAGAAGAAACGAAAGAAAGAGAAGGAUAAGGAGGACAAACAGAGGAAGAAGCACAAGAAGAAAGAGCAAUCUGAGGACACUGUGAUCGGUGCUCUCAAAGGAACUCGCUCCGAGAGGAAAGCCAGUGGUGGUAUAUGGGCUGGGGAUGCUGGGAAGGACUGGUACUUUGAUUUUCGGGGAGACAAAGACAAUCUAGCAUUCGAAUCCUUGUACAGACACGACAUUGCUCGAUACCAUUUGCACCAGAGCAAGGAAGUUUUGGAAGAAAGGCUAUGGAGGAGACGAUUGGACUUGGUUAGUCCGGAGGGUGAUAGCUGCUCGCAGGAGGAGUCAGUGAGAACAAAUGGCCGGUAUUGGUCGUCAAAGGUGGCUUCGUUGGAGAGGCGUCGGGACUUUAAACGUUUGUGCUUUGGAGCUUUGCGCUCAAAGAAAACGAGGCAUGAAGCAGGAGCCUUGUAUGACAACUUCAUCGCUCUAAACUUGAACGAAGGCGAGGUUGAGAACCAGGUAGAGAUUCCUCAAGAGAAGAGCUGGGACGAUUACGUUCUAGACAAGCUGAGAUCUUUCAACCAGCUUACGCACGAAAAGCCCGGGGAUGAGAGUGUGUGGAUCAGUUUCGCAAAAUUUCAGGACGAACUCAUCGAAGCAGAAAAGCGAAAGACAAUGGUCCAGCAUGCGAUUGACAAGAAAAUUUUACUUUUAGAGAAAGCCCUCGAGCAUCAUCCGAACAGUGAAGAGCUGAUUCUCUUGUACCUGGAGACGUGCAGAAGGAAAGAUGAUCUCGAUACGCUGAUAUCGAAAUGGGAGCGGAUGAUCGUGAGACAUAGCGGCAGCUAUCGUCUAUGGUGGGAAUUUUUGAGACUCCGACGAUCCACAUUUUCUAAGUUCUCGGUAUCGGCUCUUAGAAAACUGUACAGUCAAGCUCUUCAGGCUCUCGCUGCUGCUCGUAAUCGGCAACAAAAGGAGCGUUUAAUCGGAGAUGAUACUUCAAAGCUUGCAGAAGCAGAAGUUGGAAUCAUCGCAAUUUUUCUGGAUCUUUGCCGUUUCGAGUGGCAAACCGGUCACCAUGAGCUAGCGGUUGGCCUUUUCCAAGCACAGUUCGAGUAUAGCUUUCUCUGUCCGCUUAUCCAGCUUUCUCAGAACAACAAACUGAGAUUGUUUGAGUCGUUUUGGAAUAGUGGUGCACCAAGGAUUGGAGAAGCCGGUGCAGUAGGAUGGAACACUUGGAUGGAGCAGAAAGAAGAGCAGAUUCAAAACGCUAAAGCAAUGACUGCACACAAAAUGGAGGAAGAAAGCAGCUGGGCUGGAUGGAAAGAAACCAAUGAAGUGACAAAGACUGGAAUGGAGAAACCAGCGGCCGAGUCGAGCAUGAAACAGGAAGUUGACGACGCGGAAGAAAAUGACGAGAUUGAGGAAGAAGACGAUGCAGCGUUGCUUGAAAAGCUUGGACUCAAUCUCGACUUGACGAAAGAUGUGGAAGUCAAAGACUCUCGUAUUUGGAAACGCUGGUCCGAGGAAGAAAGCCAGCGUGCCUGUUCACAGUGGCUUCCUGUCAAGCAGCGGUCGAGAGCAGCAGGAGAUGAUCAGGAUGAGGACGAGGACGAGGGACUGGAAAAUAUGGUCCUAUUUGACGACAUCAGAGAAAAUCUCUUUACACUGACGACCGUGCAAGGAAAAUUCUAUCUCAUGGGCCAAUUUCUCGAGUUCUGCAACGUGCCUUUGUUUCAAUGGUGUUGCUCCAAUGCACUCGGGUAUAAAGAACGAAUUGACUCGUUGGAGGUUUUAACCUCAGACAUCCUAAACGCAAGCACUGACAUUCAGGGCCUGGGAAAUCUUGUGUUUCCAAAAGACUGGAUCAAAGAGUCGAAGGGCCGGGCGCGCUUUGUCCGCAAUACGGUUUUCCUGCUGAAGGACAUCUUAUCACACAAUCUACACUUUCAGGAGGUGCUCCUUUCUUUAGAAGCUUUGGAAGCCAGUGAAAAUGACGGCAAUGACGGCUCUAGUGCUUCUCGAGCUCUUGCAAAGAAGUUACUGAAAGCCAGUCGACAGGAUCUUACGCUAUGGGCAGCAUACGCUUGCUUUGAAGCGUCUACUGGAAAUGUUGACGUUGCAAGGAAAAUAUUUGACACCGCGCUGACAUCUUUGAGUGCUCUUCCAAAGGAAGCACAAUCGGAUGCUUCUUCUAUCUACCUUGCGUACGCCGAAGUGGAGAUGGCACAGUGUGGCACUAACACCCAAGAUUAUCAAAGGGUGCUGUAUAUUCUACACUUUCUAGGACUCGGUGAUCCGUAUCAACCGAACUUUUCCACUCUGAGCGGGACACAAGUUUUAAAAGCACGACGUGGCUAUAACGAUCAACUGCAAAAGAUUUACACGCUUGGAAGAUUGCGCGAGGCGGAGGCAUCGCUGGUGAUUUGUGCCGCUUUAUUUCAGCAACUUACCGCAGGAUGGCAGCCUGCCACCUCGAUUUUUCAACAAAUUUUGUCAAUGCCCGUGCAAGAUGGUCUGCAAGAAAACGUUCAUCACGAACGUCUGUUGCAUUGCUAUACUACCAUGCUUGAAAGCCAGAAAAACUGGGUAAAGCCGACACUUAUUCGACAAGUUGUGAAAGAGGGAGCUAUGCAGUAUCCAUUCAACUUGAAACUCCUCACUUCAUUCAAGCAAAACACUCUCGCAAAUGAUACGCGUCGCUUUAUCGACAAAUUAUCGCAGAGGAAACAAUCGAGCUUACAGUGGAUUUUCGCAUUGUCCUGCGAGGUCCCCAGUGCUGGAGCAACCUCUCGCGUCCGUAAUGUGUUUGAGCGUGCGCUAGAUGCCUGUGGAAGCCAGCAUUCCGUUCUUUUAUGGCGCUUGUACGUUGCGUAUGAGCUCGCGCAGAACAAUAAUGAAGGUGCCCGACGUGUUUUCUUUCGCGCAAUCCAUGCAUGUCCAUGGUCCAAAGCAUUGUGGAUAGAUGGUUUCCAGAAGAUGAGCACUGUUCUUAGCGUCAAGGAAUUGUCCGACCUUGUAGAUAUCAUGCGCGACAAGGAGCUGCGCAUUCGCACCGAUGUGUAUGAGAUACUGUUGGAGGAAGCUGGAUAAGCACCCCUGGAGCAAAUUUGAAGACGAUCACCAACCUCUGUUCUGGGCUCUGCAGCUAUUCGUUUUUUUUCCUAGUGCUUACUGCCCUGGUGUUUACUCCCAAGUGGUUGCAAGCUUCUGGGCACGCUGGGGUGGCCUUUUGGACAGCUGAGAAUUAAUGACAAGGAGCUGGAGAAGGAACUGUGCGUUUAUGUAGUGUGAGGAGCAUGUGAGACGGUUAAAGGGAAGGCUUCUUUAUUGGAGGUAUUCAUCACCACCAAGGAUUAGAUAAAUGUCAGCGUCGUGUGGGAGCGACUUCGUGAAAUCUCGAGCUGGAUGGGAAUUUUGGAACUGGAUGUACCACCGGCAGCGAUUUGAAGGUAAGGUUGCAUGUUUGAGUCGCGUUAGUUGUUCGGGAAGCCACAUUUCGUGAUCAUUAGCUAAGAAAAAGAAUACCGAUUUCUUUUCACGAUGAA